GUGGAUCUUCAUGAAGCUAUAGGGAUAAGAAUUCAGAACUUCUCCUGUCCCUUCUCUGCUCCUUUAUCUCGUAAAGGCUCUUCAGUGCAGGGUUUAUUUCUGAUGAUGUGUCUAUACUUUCUGUAGGAGCUCUCCUCUUUGCACUCCAACUGUUUCACUUCCUGAGGACGGGAAGGUAGAUAAUCCUAAGAGGUCUGACAACCGUAUUAACAUCCAAACCACAAAUGAUGGGUAAUAUGAAAAGCUGGAUUUUCUGACAUACACCCUUUACAUCUGCUUUCUGCAUCAGAGCCAGAAUUAGUUCUACUGUUGUGUUUGUAUUAAAUAUGUGGAUUAAUGGAGCUCAGCGAGAGUGCUGAAUAAGCUCUUCCCAUCUCCAGUGGCUUUGGACGGCAUCUUUCCAUGCAGAGAAAAAUGUGUAGCUUGUUAUAUUCUGUUUCGCACUUGGAAAAACUGUGGCUUGGUACUAAAUCAACAGCUGCUUGUUCAGAAGAAGAGAUUCCAAAGUUCUAUUAGAACUAAGCAAAUUUGGGCUGAGGGCGGCAACAGGGCUGAAAUACUACAAGGAAUCAUUUUGGUUGUGUUGGCUCAGACCGUAGCCCACCAACAGUGCCACUGCUCAAAGAGAACUGACCCCUCUAAUGAAUACCAAAAGACCAGAGUCCCGAUCCAGGAAGAUUUGAUGGCACCUGCAAAUCCAAACAAUGAAGAUAUGUUGCUCCAGUAUCCUGGCUCAGUCACUGCUCAG
ensembl:lncRNA